AUGCGAAUACUCGUGCUCUGGAUUGUUUGUGGAACUUGUCUGACAGACCCAAGCCAUGGAGAUUCUGUCACUCAGACGGUAUCCUCAGAAGUGAAGACAGAAGGAGAGGAGGUGACUUUCAGCUGCACCUAUGAUACUACAGAGAGAAACUACAACUUAUUUUGGUACCGGCAAAUUUCAGACACAAGACCUGAGUUCAUACUGCGCAAAGAUACAGGUGGUGGUGAAAAUAAAGCAGAUUUUGCCCAAACCCGCUUCACCGGCCAUCUGCAGAAGGAAAGGAAAUUCACCAGUUUGACCAUCUCAUCGCUGCAGCUGAGCGACUCUGCAGUUUAUUACUGCGCCUUCUGCCGCACAGUGAUGUAA